ACGUGAUAAUGUGUGCACAUUUUUUGAGCUGCUAAUCGUGGAUAUUGCGUUUACUUUAUAAAAACGUAUCUGAUUAAUACGGUGUACUCAUGAACUGACUCACUAGCCUAUGUUAUCUUUGUUCAAGGUGAAUAUUUCCUACUGUAGUAGUAAAUAAAGUUGUUGGCAACUUGGCAUCCAGUGCAUAGUUGACAGCAUAUUUGAGAGAAAGUUCAAAUGAUUGUCUUACUAGUGGUCACGUCAGCUCUUAUGUCAUGUUUAUGCCAUUGUUAGGCUAUUUCCAUGUCUCCCACUGAAGAAAAGGUGUGUGUACUGUGUUCAGAGACAUUUAAAGGACAUUUUAAAGGAAAAUACAAUAAACCAGUGGAGGCUGCUGAGGGGAGCAAGGCACAUAAUAAUGGCUGGAAAGGAGCUAAUGGAAUGGCAUCUUACACAUGGAACCCAUAUUUGAUACCAUUCCACCUAUUCCGCUCCAGCCAUUACCACGAGCCCGUCCUCCCCAAUUAAGGUGCCACCAACCUCCUGUGCAAUAAACAGUCAUUUUUGUGUUAUGCUUCAGCAACUCACGUAUUCAUGGCUACCCGGAUGGUGCAACUCGCUCAGCCCAAACCCAACCUGCUCCGAUUCCCCGACCGGUACUGCCACACAAACACACACACAGACUGACUGACUGAUUAUUUUCCUUCCAGAUGGUCAGUCUACUGGCUAGAUGAACUCCCACCUGAAAGAAAUGGCUCCACCACCACGUUGGAGUUGACGCCCCACUGGUCCCAGCUGUGUGGCAGGAAGCGGCUUAAUUCUGUGUUUGAACAGAGCAGGUCAUCUCCCCAAUGGGAGGUCAGUGUAGCAGCUUUGAGUGCCUAUCCAUCCAAUAGAUUAGAUUGUGUUGUCUGGCUUUGCCCCGCCUCCCCACCGUAGGCUGGGAACCUGACCGCCCCCUACUGGCCUCCCAGACUGCAGUAGCCAGUCCUAGGGUCUGCCAGUUGGCCUGUCCCAAGUGGAGGCAGGGUCUCUAUUCGCCCAAGACCUCACUGGCACCCCCUCACCCAGCUGCAACCUCCUCCCGACUACAGCUCCUCGCCAUCCCUAAGUCUGACCACCCCCAGUAUGCCCAGGACCGUCCAGUCAGCUGGCCAGUGCCGGGGCCAGUGAGGAAGGCAGUAGCCAGUGAGAGGGUGCAGGUCCUUUCACAGCCCAACCAGCGGAAGGCGCUGUUCCAAGGCUACAACCCGUACACGGUUACCCUAGCUGCACGCUCUGCUAGCGCCUCGCCGCGCCUACAGGAGCUUUGUCUGCCCAUGCCACGGAAAUGCAAGGGCAAAUAGACGAAUGCAUCUCAUCUCACACCUCUACAGUACCUCCGGCUGCCUCUUCUUCAGAUACUCUGUCUCCUGUACAGCAUGUCUAUGUCCCUGAUCACCACUGCUCCAUAAUAAAGACCCUCUAUGAUAUCAUUGACACAUGUUGCUGGGUCUUUGUUCUGGUCCAACGGGACCACUGGCUUUAGAAGGUGGAUUGUUUAGUGCUGUGACGUUCAACAGCGGGCUGUUCAUUCAACUGAAGUGACUUUUACUAUCACCAAAGGGGAGUUGUCACGGACCUAGAACAUUACAACGCACAUUACAUACAUGAAGCGAAAACCACCUGAAUGUAAAAGUGUACCUUAUAUAUAUUUUAGUGUGUAAUUGUAGUAUGUGACAGAUGUAGGAAACCUGAAAAAGGAUGUAAUAUAUUUAAUGAAUAUUCCCUCUCCUGUUAACCCUCUACUGAACAUACAGUUGAAGUCGGAAGUUUACAUACACCUAGGUUGGAGUCAUUAACUUGUUUUUGGUGUCUUCCCUGUGGCUCAGUUGGCAGAGCAUGGUGUUUGCAACGCCAGCAUGGUGUGUGCAACGCCAGGGUUGUGGGUUCGAUUCCCACGGGGUUGCUCUGGAUAAGAGUGUCUGCUAAAUGACUAAAAUGUAAAAAAUGUUUUUCAACCACUCCACAAAUUUCUUGUUAACAAACUAUAGUUUUGGC
ensembl:lncRNA